CCGGUUGAUCCUGCCGGACCUGACUGCUAUCGGAUUGAUACUAAGCCAUGCGAGUCAUUGUAGCAAUACAAGGCAGACGGCUCAGUAACGCGUAGUCAAUCUACCCUAUGGACGGGAAUAACCUCGGGAAACUGAGAAUAAUACCCGACAGAACAUUAUACCUGGAACGGUUUAUGUUUCAAAUGAUUUAUCGCCGUAGGAUGGGACUGCGGCCUAUCAGUUUGUUGGUGAGGUAAUGGCCCACCAAGACUAUUACAGGUACGGGCUCUGAGAGGAGUAGCCCGGAGAUGGGUACUGAGACACGGACCCAGGCCCUAUGGGGCGCAGCAGGCGAGAAAACUUUGCAAUGUGCGAAAGCACGACAAGGUUAAUCCGAGUGGUUUCUGCUAAAGAAACCUUUUGCUAGUCCUAGAAACACUAGUGAAUAAGGGGUGGGCAAGUUCUGGUGUCAGCCGCCGCGGUAAUACCAGCUCCCCGAGUGGUCGGGACGAUUAUUGGGCCUAAAGCAUCCGUAGCCUGCUUCGCAGGUCUUCUGUUAAAUUCAACGGCUUAACCGUUGAGCUGCAGGAGAUACCACGAGGCUAGGAGGCGGAAGAGGUAGACGGUACUCCAUGGGUAGGGGUAAAAUCCACUGAUCCAUGGAAGACCACCAGUGGCGAAGGCGGUCUACCAGAACGCGCUCGACGGUGAGGGAUGAAAGCUGGGGGAGCGAACCGGAUUAGAUACCCGGGUAGUCCCAGUUGUAAACGAUGCGAGCUAGGUGACGGAGUGGUUUCGUACCAUUCCGGUGCCGCAGGGAAGCCGUUAAGCUCGCCGCCUGGGGAGUACGGUCGCAAGACUGAAACUUAAAGGAAUUGGCGGGGGAGCACCACAAGGGGUGAAGCCUGCGGUUCAAUUGGAGUCAACGCCGGG
rnacentral:rRNA from 1 species